rnacentral:rRNA from 1 species
GACGAACGCUGGCGGCGUGCUUAACACAUGCAAGUCGAACGGAAAGGCCUGCUUUCCCUUGUGGAUUGCGGGUACUCGAGUGGCGAACGGGUGAGUAACACGUGAGUGAUCUGCCCCCAACUUGGGUAUAAGCCUGGGAAACUGGGUCUAAUUCCCGAUAGGACUAAAGGGUGGUGCCUGUGGUGGAAAACGAUUUUCUAGUGGUUGGGGAUGAGCUCGCGGCCUAUCAGCUUGUUGGUGGGGUAAUGGCCUACCAAGGCGGCGACGGGUAGCCGGCCUGAGAGGGUGGACGGCCACAUUGGGACUGAGAUACGGCCCAGACUCCUACGGGAGGCAGCAGUGGGGAAUAUUGCACAAUGGGCGGAAGCCUGAUGCAGCGACGCCGCGUGGGGGAUGACGGCCUUCGGGUUGUAAACUCCUUUCGACCGCGAGGAAGCCACCUGGUUGGAAGGGUGGUGACGGUAGUGGUAGAAGAAGCACCGGCUAACUACGUG